rnacentral:lncRNA from 10 species
AACACCACCUGCCAACAUUCAGCCUCCUCUGCCCAUCAGCCUUGCUGACACAGGGAGUGGAGAUUUGUGUAGAGAAAUGACUCAUUCAAAUAUGACUUAAUCUAAACCGUAAGUGUAUGAUUUAUUAAUGUGCCACCAGGCCUUACACCAAGAGAGCCAUUCCAGAGAAAAGUCCUUUUUCUCCUGAGAACAGUGCCAGCAGCUGGCUUCGUGACAUUCUGGAAGCCCCGUGCAAUGCUGUCAGGAGCAUAGGGAUUUUACUUUAUCUCCCUUGCUUAUGCUCCACAUAACUGAAAUAUCUCACUGGAAGCUGCAGCAGUGCUGGCCCCUUGCACAGCCAUAUGUGACCACUGCAGAACAAUCAGUUGGAGAGACAGUUUGGACUACAUGGAGGGUGGAGAUAAGGACAAAGUGAAGAAUACACAGGAACCAGUGCCUCCUCCUGGAACUAUGCAACUCCAAGCUGCUUCCAUCAGCUGCUAGGUCCAGUAGGGAGGGACCUACUGAGAGGUGAUUGGAUUAUGGGGGCGGUUUCCCCCAUGCUGUUCUCAUGAUCGUGAGUGAGUUCUCAUUUGAUCUGAUGGUUUCACGAAAGGCUCUUUCUCCUUUGCUUUCUCUUCUCUCUCCUGCUGCUAUGUGAAGAAGGUGCCUGCUUCCCUUUCCGCUGUGAUUGUAAGUUUCCUGAGGCCUCCUCAGCCAUGUGGAACUGUGAGUCAAUGAAACCUGUUUCCUUUAUAAAUUACUCAGUCUCUGGUAUUCCUUUAUAGCAGUGUGAAAAUGGACUAAUAUACUUGCCCUUCAUCCCAACGAUGGAUUUAAGACUAGAGACAUUUCAAAUAGUACUCAGACCCAGAACAUACUGUUUUCACUCCAAGAGUCUGAAUGUCUCUUUUCUGAGAAAGAUGAAGAAAAAGUACUUUUUUCAUGAAUUUAAUACUCAUUAAAGUCAAUAGUCGGAAAGCCUGGCUAAUUAGCAGACUUCUUCAGAGGACUUUAAAUAAUAUAGUUACUGUAUUUUUAUUAUAUUGAAAUCUCCAAAUAUAUAAAGUUAGAAUCUUCAAGGUGGGAGGAAGAGGAGAAAUUGGAUUUCUCUAAGCUCCCUAGUGAUUCUGAUGAUGACUCAUUUGGGGAAGUGCAGCAUUGAAUGGCCCUUCUAAAAUGAGGACAGCUAUUUUUUGGACUAAGCACCCCUCCCGACUCUCCCCAUUCCUCAUCCUCUCAGAGACUUCUCUCUCUCAGAUUGCCCCAUCUGUCUCAUGUAUUAUAAUCACUUCCCCUCUACUGGUUUCUUCUCAUACGUUUAACUUGUUCAAGUGCCUUCCAUCUUUAAAAACAGUCAAGGCACAGCCCUUGAUUUAACCAUAGGAAGCCCGCUCCCCACCACCCUGCCAUCAGCUCUCUUCUUCCUGUGUAGUGAGCACUGCUUCUUUGAGCUUCUGAAAGCUGUAGUCACUGCCUCUUGCUGGUAACUGAAAGCACAUUUCUAAGUUCGCAUAUUCCCUGACUUCUUGACAGCACUCAUGACUCGCCAUCUCCUUUUCUGGAACACUGUUUGCUUGGCUUUCACAAUAUCAUGCUUUUCUAGUUCUUUUUCCUGUUUUGGACACUGCUUUACAGAGAAUUAACAUUCCUCUUUUUCCCGCUGACCCUGAAUCAAGAAAGAAUCAUGUUUCUUUCUUUAUUUUUUAUAUCUUAACUUUUGAGGGGUAGAUUUUCAAGCAUACAUAAAAGUGAAGAGAACAGGAUAAUGAACUAGGUGUACACAUGACUGCAUCUUAUCAGUGCAAUACACACUCAUAUUACUUUUUCUAUACUUCAUCCAUUUUCUCCCUGCUCCCUGACUUGGAUCAAAUCCCAGACAUUACAUUAUUUAACCUGCAAAUAUUUCAUCAUAUAUAUGUGGGAAUAUAUAGAUCUCUAUCACUAUAUAUAGUGAGAAUUUCUUUCAAAGAAAAGAUAAUCACAAUAUUAUAAUCUCAUCAAAUGUAGUUGUUAUAAUUCCUUAAUGUCAGUCUAAUAACAAUCCUGUUUUCACAAUUUCUUCUCUUGUAGAUUUUUAAAAAUUAAUUUUGUUGAAUUGAAAUCUAAAUAAGAUACAGAGAUAAAGAUUCAUUGACAUGUCCCUUAAGUAUUUUAGUUUAUAGGCUGUCCUACUAUAUUCCCUGCCUCUUCUUGCAUUUUAUCUUGAUUCAGUUGAAAACUCUGGGUCAUUUGUCUUAUAAAGUUCAUGGGGUCUGCAAUUUGGUGAAGGUGUCCUUUUGGCAUUAUUUAACAUGCGUCUCUGUUCCUUGUAUUUUCUAGAAAUUAUUGGUUAUAUCUAGAGGUUUGAUCAGAUUUAGGUGAAAUUAUAAAAAGAUUCCGUCAUAGGUGAUUUUGUGAAGUUCCAUCAGAAGGUACCCAUCUGGUUUUCUCUCCUUUUGUGAUGCUAGCAGCCACUGAAUAUGGUAAUCUACUCCAAUCAUUAACUAAAUUUCUUUUCUGGAAUUAUUCCAAAAGAGAAACUUUUUUCAUCAUGCAUUUGGUUGUCCUGAGGUAUGAUUGUAUAGGAAAAACAGGAUAACCUACUGAUACUUUCUGUUUAAACUAGUAUUCAAAAUAAUAAAAGUAGUCCCCUAGUAUUAUCUAAAGAUUUCAAAAGACUUUUAAAAAAAUUAUUGAUGAUUUUAUGAGCUCAGGGAUUAAACAUAGUCAAUCUGUUUCAAUCCCUUGCAGUUAUUCCAAUUAAUAAUCAAAUUUUCCUGCCUUUGGCUUGCGGCAGCGUAUUCAUGUUGAAUUCUGGGUCACUUUGACAUGACUCCAGUUGUCUUUGAUGGUAUCCUUUUUGUGACAAAAUGUCCCAGGAUUAUAAUUUCCUGUCCCAUACUGGGAAACAGCCAGUUCUCCAAAGAGCUCUGGAACCAUUCAGUGAGAAAUGUAUUUAGAUGCAACAUUCUGGGUGCUAAGCAUGCCCAUUAACCUGAUCAAUCUCACGUCUUUCCUUUCUUUCAGCAUUGCCAGAAAACUCAUUUCUCAGUGACACCAUUGUAAUUACUCAUUUGAUUAUCCCGCAAUACACAUAUAAGAGUCUCAGGAAAACAGUACCAUCAGCAUUAUAUGGUAAUAUCUACAAGCACUUUAAUAUUUUCUUAUUGGGGGUACACUUUUUUCCAUAGAGAAUAUUUUACUAGGUAAGAACAAUAAUAUUGAUAUGUUUUAAUUUUUCUUGAAGUGGUUCUUCUGUAUGAGGUUAUAUCACCAAGUAGAUAUACAGUUAUAAUGUUUGAUUAUUACACAUUGCUUUUCUUAAAAUUUAAUUUUGUUUUAAAGCUAUUAAAAUCAGGUUUCUUAAAGAAAGAUCCUCAUUCUAUCUGGAUCAAAAUCACUUUCAGAGCUAAUUAAAAAUGUGGUGUCCUGGACUCACGAAGCCAGAAUUGCUGAGGAGAUAGCCCGAGAAUCUGAAUUUUUAGCAGACAUUUUUUUAGGGUGUGGGGAAGAGCGAGAAAAAGAUUUCCGCUCUGGAAGGUAAACAAAUACUCUCUGGAGAGAGAAGAGGAAUGUCCCUAGCAGAUGUCUCCAGAGAAGACAAGACUUUAAAUUCCGCCAGGGAAAUAUACAAUGUCUAACUUCUAAGGCACAUUUGCCAUUCAAUCAUGCUUUAACCCACGUUGCCAGAAAUUUUUGCUCACUAGGUUUUGACUGUACAGGAAUGUGAAAAUAUUCAUGAAGAGUUGUUUUCCAAUGCUAAAGAAUUGAUGUGUUUUAACAGUUGAAUUAAUUGUAUUGAUUAUGAUCACACCUACUUUUUAUAUAUCUUCAUUUCUAACGUUUCUGUACAAUCCUGCCUUUCCACCUGAUAUAGUUAGGCCUUGUGUCAUCAACCAAAUCUCAUCUUGAAUUGUAAUCGCCAUAAUCCCCACGUAUUUAGGGAGAGACCUGGAGGGAGGUGUUUGGAUCAUGGGGGCGGUUUCCCGCAUGCUGUUCUCAUGACCAUGAGAGUAAGUUCUCAAGAGAUCUGAUGGUUUUAUAAGCGUCUGUCAUUUCCACUGCUUGCACUUCUGUGUCCUGCCACCUUGUGAAGAAGGACGUGGUUGCUUCCCCUUCCACCAUGAUUGUGUUUCCUGAGGCCUCCCCAGCCUUGCAGAGCUGUGAGUCAAUUAAACCUCUUUCCUUUAUAAAUUACUCAGUCUCUGUAUUCCUCUGCAGCAGUGUGAGAACAGACUAAUACAUCACCACUUUAUUUACUUUACUCUCUCCCCAUACCGAGGUUUUCUACAUUUUCUUUCUAGGUCUCUACAGUUUCUGCAAAGAUCCUUUAUGGAACUCUUAGGGAAGCUGGGAUGUAUAAUAAAUAAAGGGCUCUUUUCUUUGAGUCCCACACCCAUUUUCUGUGUAUAAAAAUCUUCAACUCCACUUUUGUCUGUUCUAUUUAAAUGUGUGCACAUUUCCUUCUAAUGUUGUAUAUGAAAAAGAGACACCUCUUAGCAGUCUUUCAUAGAGCAAAAUUUUUUACUUUGAUAAAAUCUAAUUUAUCAAUAUUUUUAAAUUUUAUGGAUCAAUCAUGCUUUUGAGGUUGAAUUUAAGAAUGCUUUGCCUAGCCCUAGAUCCCAAGUAUCUUUUAAAAAUUAUUUUUCUAAAUGCAUUAUUUAUGUUUUACACUUAAGUCUAUAAUCCAUUUUGAGUCCAUGUGUAAGAUUUAGGUUAAGGUCAAGAUUUAUCUGUUUUUGUUGUUUUCUCUAUAAAUGUCAAUUGCUCCAGCACUAUUUGUUUAAAAGCCAAUCUUUCCUCCGCUGAGUUCUUCCUAUAAGUUUGUCAAAAGUCAAUUUGGCAUCUUUGUAUAAGUUUAUUUCUGGAUUCUCUAUUCUGUUUUAUUGAUCACUGCAUCUAUCCCUCUUGAUUAGCUAGAUAAUAAAUCCUACAAUAAGGUAGAAUUCUUCCCACUUUAUUCAUAUUCAAAAUAUUUUAAAGCUAUUCUAGUUUCUUUUUAUUUCCAUAUAUAUUUUAGGAUAAUCUUAUCUAUAUUUACAACAUAUGUUGCUAGGAUUUUGAUAGAAUUUGUUUUAAAUUUGUGUAUCAAUGUAGGGAAGACCUGACAUCUUUACUAUUACGUUGAUCUUCCAAUCAAUGAAUAUGGUAUAUCUCUCAGUUUAUAGCUAUUGUCUUUAAUUUAUUUCAUCAUGGUUUUUAGUUUUCAGCAGAGAAGCUUUAUACAUGUUUUGUUAUACAUGUAUAACAAAAGAAGCCUUAUACACUGACAUUUUAUAUUUUGAACAAUUGUAAAUGGUAUUGUUUAAAAAUUUUGUUGUCUAUGAUAGAAAUAAAAUUGAUUUUUGUAGGUUUAUCUUGUAACCUAUGACUUGCUGAGCUCGCUCAUUAGUUUUUUUAUUGUGAUAAAAUAUACAUGAGAUAAAUUUCAUCAUUAUAAUCAUUAAGUUUAGACAUCAAUUGCAUUAAGUACAUAAAUGCCUUAUGCAACCAUCAUCUCUAUCCAUCUCCAGACCCUUUGCAUCACCCUAAAAUGAAACUCUGUGCCCAUUAAACAAUAACUCCCCAUUCUGCCCUCACCCCAGCCCUUGGUAAUUACCAUCCUACCUUUUAUCUCUAUAAAUUUAACCAUCCCAGGUAACUCAUAUAAGUGGAAUCAUGCAGUGUUUGUCCUUUUGUAACUGGUUUAUUUCACUUAGCAUGAUGUCUUCAAGGUUUGCCUAUGUCAUAGCAUGUGUCAGAAUUUCAUCCCUUUUUAAACUUAAAUAAUAUUCCACUGUAGGCAUAUGCCACAUUUUGUUUAUUUGUUCAUCUGUUGAUGGGCAUUUGGGUUGUUUCCACCUUUUGGCUACUGUGAAUAAUGCUGCUGUGAUCAUGGGUAUGCAACUGUCUCCUGGAGUCCCUGCUAUCAAUUCUUGUGGGUAUAUACCCAGAAGUGGAAUUGUUGCAACAUAUAGUAAUUCUAUGUUUAAUUUUUUGAGGACCUGCCAUAAUGUUUUCCACAGUAGCUACAUUGUCUUAUAUUCCCAUUAAGAGUUCCAAUUUCCUCACAUCUUCACCAAUACUUAUUGUUUUCUGUUUUUUUAAAUAAUAGCCAUCAUAAUAAAAGUAACAUGGUAUCUCAUUGUGGUUUUAACUGCAUUUCCCUUUUUACUGGAUUGUUUGUAAUAUUGCUGUAAUUGAGUUGUAGGAGUUUUUAAAUAUGUUCUGAAUAAUUAAUUUCUUAUCAGAUAUGUCAUUUGCAAAUAUUUUCUGCCAUUCUCUGGGUUGUCAUUUCACUCUCUUGAUAGUGUCCUUUGAUGCACAGAAGUUUUGAAAUUUGAUAAAGUUUAAUUUGCGUAUGUAUUUAUUUUGUUGCUUAUGCUUUUGGUGUCAUAUCCAAGAAAUUAUUGCCAAAUUCAGUGUCAUGAAGAUUUUCCCCUGUGUUUUCCUCUAAGAGUAUUAUAGUUUUAACUCUUGCACUUAGAUUGAUCCGCUUUGAGUUAAUUUUAGUAUAUGGGGUAAGACAAGGGCUCAAAUUUGUUCUUUUGUUUGAAGAUUCUAGGUCAUUUGUGAUCUUUAGGAUUUUCUAUGUAGACAUUAAUGUCAUCUUCAAAUAUGAACAGUUUAUUUCUUCCUUUUGUAUAUGUAUGAAUUUACUUUCCUUUUCUUGCCUUAUUGCACUGGCUAGAGUUUUCAGUACUAUGAUGAAUAAAAUCAGUGAGAGCAGACACCCUUGCUUUGUUUCUAAUCUUAGGAGGAAAGCUUUCAGUCUUUCAUCAUUAGGUAUACUGUUAGUUGUAGGCUUAUUAUAGAUGCUCUUUAUCAGGUUGAGGCAGUUUCCUCCUUGGUUAAGACUUUCUAUUUUUCAUUUUCAGUUAUGACCAGGCAUGUUCAUAACUGCUCAUCAAAACUUUGAAUUAGUGGCUGCUUUAACAUCCUUCUCAGACAAUUCUAACAUCUGUUUUGUUGGUGGUGGCAUCUAUCAAUUGUCUUUUUCAUUCUGUUUGAGAUCUUCCUUGCGUUUGGUAUGAUUUUUUUAAAUAUUAUGUCAUGAAACUGCAUCUUAUUUAAAUCUUCUGUUUUAGUUGGCUAUGUCUGACAUCACUUCCCCAGGGGAAGGUGUUGUUACUGCUAGUGGAGGGUGAGAAUUAUGGCUCUCCACUGACAUUGUGGUGGGAUUGGUCCCAUUACCACUGGGCAGGGUUGAAAGUCCUGACUUUCUGCUAGGCCUUCUCUGACUUCAUCGCAGCAGGAGGAAAAGAUGCCUCUGGAGUUGAAGUCAGGUUGCACUGACACUGUGUGUGUAUGGAGGUAGGCUGGGGUGAAAGUGGAGACUCAUUACCACAUGGUGAGUAGUUUCCAGCUCUCUAUUUGGCCUUCUCUGAUACCACCCAGACAGGGACAUUGGGGAUACCUCAUUACAGCCUAGUGAGGGUCAAACUCUAGGCUCCCCACUCAGUCUUUGCUAUCAUGGACACUGUAGGACCAUAGUUUUUUCUGUGCUGUUUGCUUGAUGUGUCUUCCUUGGACCCUGAGUUCCAUAGCUGGUCUGCAUUCCUCUCUCCACCUUUAAGACGUCUUCUUAUGUUUAUUUCAUAUUUAACAUCCAGGGUGGUAAUUAGAGGGAAGAAUAGAGGGAAAAGUACAGUUGCACUUUGUUGUUCAAAGAGCAGUUUUGAACUGCACAGACCCAUUUCUCUGAGCACACCCAGGGAUGAUUGUACUUGUAUAAAAUUUUUUUCCUGGAUGCAGAAUUCUCAAUUGACUGUGAAAGUUCAUAACAAAGAAAACAGUGGGGAAGACAAAUCUGGAAAUGAGGAAAAUAAAAAUUAAAUAGUGAGACCACCCAUGGAGCUUGUGGCAAAGCCUGAAUUGAAUCCGCUGUAUCUUAAGAUUGUGCCUCAUUCUAAAUUUAAGUCACCCUUCUCAUUAUGAAAGUGUCACAACUUCUCAGUAGGUGAGGAGACAGUCUAAAUUUGAGAAAAGAAAGUUACAACAAAGGUUUUGAGCAAGCUGCUAAGUGGAUUUAUUCAUGUUUGAGAAAUCAAAUAUAUGGUUAAUGAGCUCUUUAACUAGAAGCCAACACUAGGGAGGAGUAGACAGAAGUCACGGGGAGGGAGCCCCCGGACAUUUCAAAAGACUUUGCCCUGCAACAUCUCCUCCACAUUUAAGCUUUUAGGUUAUUGUAGCCACAUCACAAGCAUGUUACCUACCCAGAUAUUGUCUGCGCAUCAUUCCCAAAAGCUUCCCUGGGUCUUCAUAAUAUUAAUGAGAUUCUCCCCCAGGUUAGACCCCUUUGGCUUGAGUCAGAAACAGAAUUAAUCCGGGGGACAAUCCAGCAGCACCCAUCUCUGGGUUGCAGAAAUAUCUGAGGUGACCAGGCAGUGUUUGGAGUCCCCUCAGUUAGCUAACAAAGUGAGUUCACAGCUUCCAAGACCCCAGGCUUUCCAGGCUAAUAAAGAGCUGAGGUUAUAGGCUCUCCUUAUCAAACGCUCUUUGGCAGCUGCCAUAACCAUUCCAAGUCUAGUCCUAGAAUAGAAAUGACGCGGUUUCAGGAGCUGACAGAUGGAACUUUAAGCCUUCCUUCCUGCCACAUCUGAAGUUCUUUUUUAAAAAAAUAGAAAACCAUGACAAUAAACACUCCUUGAAUGCCCUGUGGAAAAGUGUACUCCUCAGAAUUCACUAAAGUGGGGUGAAGCAGUGGGUUGUGGUGCUGAGAAAACAUCUCUUCCCCUCGGCAGUAUAUUGGAAUCUCAUAGAAACUUCUGUGGCUGGGAAGCAAACAUGCUCUCUGCCCCAUUGCUCUUAUUCAUCUUUAGACCUGAUAAUACAGUUUGAACUUCAAGUUGCACUUUAAAUGGCAUGCAUUUUUA